UCGGCUAUGCUGGGAGCCUGGCUUUCGGU
rnacentral:piRNA from 1 species